GCAGCACAAGUAUAACGUAGAUGUGGCACUCGAUAGAUUACAACUGCAAAGCUCGGUGAAAGAUUUCGAAUCAUCCAAAGGAUGUGCUCAAAGGUGGAAAGAAUGAUGCUCAAGGAAAGUCUCUUAUGAGUGAUAACGAGAUGGUUGACACAUUCUUGAAUAUUCUGCAAUCACCCUUCUGUGAGACCAUGGUGAGCAGUGUUUCUUCAAACUUUGUAAACAGAGUGUUAAUUGAAGAAAGAAUUGGAGUCGGUGUGAAGACUGAAAAUAUCGUACAAGGUCCUACCAUGGCGGCAAAUGUGAACAAGUCGGGUCUAAGCAUGGGAGGAGGAGAGCCAAAGAGGCUCAACCAUGUCCCAUCACUCAAAUACCCUUGACAUACUCUCUAGUUGAAACAGUUCUAAGACGAAGUCGGAGACUAGAUCCAAAUUCAAUUUCUCACUAAGUCUCUAGGCAGAAUAAUGCUUAUGAAUUUCAAGUCUCCUGCACAAAAGGCUGAAUCUCUAAUUGUUACAUGAAGCCUUUAAAGCCUUAAUUCCUCAACACUCAUGAUACGAAAGGUGAUUACCAUGAAUGGGCUAUCGGUCAUCCCAC
rnacentral:lncRNA from 1 species